GGACGAACGCUGGCGGCGUGCCUAACGCAUGCAAGUCGAGCGGGGAUGGUAGCUGAAGGUGAUGAGCUGGAAGCUGCCAUCUUAGCGGCGGACGGGUGAGUAACACGUGAGCAACCUACCCUCAGCACGGGGAUAACAGCUCGAAAGGGCUGCUAAUACCCGAUGGGACCACGUCAUUGCAUGGUGAUGUGGUGAAAGGGUGGACGUAAGGUCCAUGCCGGCUGGGGAUGGGCUCGCGGCCCAUCAGCUAGUUGGUGGGGUAACGGCCUACCAAGGCGACGACGGGUAGCCGGCCUGAGAGGGUGACCGGCCACAGUGGGACUGAGACACGGCCCACACUCCUACGGGAGGCAGCAGCGGGGAAUCUUGCGCAAUGGGCGAAAGCCUGACGCAGCGACGCCGCGUGAGGGAAGGAGCCCUUCGGGGUGUAAACCUCUUUGGACGGGGAGAAGUAGGAGAUAGUACCCGUUUAAAAAGCCACGGCUAACUACGUGCCAGCAGCCGCGGUAAUACGUAGGUGGCGAGCGUUGUCCGGAAUUACUGGGCGUAAAGGGUGCGUAGGCGGCCUGGUAAGUUGAGCGUGAAAUUUUUGGGCUCAACCCAAAAGGAGCGUUCAAGACUGCCAGGCUUGAGUGCGGGAGAGGACGGCGGAUUCCCGGUGUAGCGGUGAAAUGCGUAGAUAUCGGGAGGAACACCAGUGGCGAAUGCGGCUGUCUGGACCGUAACUGACGCUGAGGCACGAAAGCGUGGGGAGCAAACAGGAUUAGAUACCCUGGUUAGUCCACGCUGGUAAAACGAUUGGGAUGGCUAAGGUGGUGGGGGGAGGAAGAAACUUCUUUCCGUUGCCCGUAAGUUAACACAAAUUAAAGCUUCCCGCCCUGGGGAGAGUCCGGCCCCGCAAGUUGGAAAUCUCAAAGGGAUUGGCGGGGGGCCCGGCCCAAAGCGGGUGGACCAUGGUGGUUUAUUUGAAGGGCACGGGCGAAGGACCUUUACCAGGGCCUUGACAAUGCCGGAAACCCUUUCGAAAAGGGAGGGGGGUCCUUGACGAAUGAGGGUAAGAAACCCGGACCACAGUUGGGCCAUGGGUUUGUCGUUCAGCUCGGUUUCGUAAAAUGUUGGGGUUAGGUCCCCCAACGGAGCGCAAACCCUGGCCCUUUUAUUGCCCAGCCGGGCCGAAGCGGGGCCACUUUUAGGGGAACCUGCCCGCCCGAAUGAGGCGGAGGGGAAGGGUGGGGAAUGACGUCAAAUCCAUCAUGCCCCCUUAUGCCCCUGGGGCUUCCACCCCGUGCUACAAUGGUGCUAACAGAAGGGCAGCGAAGGCGCGAGCUGGAGCGAAUCCCCAAAAAAGCACCCCCCAGUCCGGAUUGCAGGCUGCAACUCCCCUGCAUGAAGUCGGAAUCGCUAGUAAUCGCGGAUCAGCAUGCCGCGGUGAAUACGUUCCCGGGCCUUGUACACACCGCCCGUCACACCAUGAGAGUCAGCAACACCUGAAGACACAGGGCAUCUGUGUUGAAGGUGGGGCUGAUGAUUGGGGU
rnacentral:rRNA from 1 species